rnacentral:rRNA from 4 species
GCGUUCUGUAAGCCGUUGAAGGUGUGCUGUGAGGCAUGCUGGAGGUAUCAGAAGUGCGAAUGCUGACAUAAGUAACGAUAAAGCGGGUGAAAAGCCCGCUCGCCGGAAGACCAAGGGUUCCUGUCCAACGUUAAUCGGGGCAGGGUGAGUCGACCCCUAAGGCGAGGCCGAAAGGCGUAGUCGAUGGGAAACAGGUUAAUAUUCCUGUACUUGGUGUUACUGCGAAGGGGGGACGGAGAAGGCUAUGUCAGCCGGGCGACGGUUGUCCCGGUUUAAGCAUGUAGGCGGAGGU